GUGCCAGCCGCCGCGGUAACACCGGCAGCCCAAGUGAUGGCCGAUAUUAUUGGGCCUAAAGCGUCCGUAGCUGGCCGCGCAAGUUCGUCGGGAAAUCCACUCGCUUAACGAGUGGGCGUCCGGCGGAAACUGUGCGGCUUGGGACCGGAAGAUCCGAGGGGUACGUCCGGGGUAGGAGUGAAAUCCCGUAAUCCUGGACGGACCACCGAUGGCGAAAGCACCUUCGGAAGACGGAUCCGACAGUGAGGGACGAAAGCUAGGGUCGCGAACCGGAUUAGAAGCCCCGGUAGUCC
rnacentral:rRNA from 1 species